rnacentral:rRNA from 1 species
GCACAAGCGGCGGAGCAUGCGGAUUAAUUCGAUGCAACGCGAAGAACCUUACCAAGGCUUGACAUACACCGGUAACGCCCAGAGAUGGGUGCCCCUUUGUGGUCGGUGGACAGGUGGUGCAUGGUUGUCGUCAGCUCGUGUCGUGAGAUGUUGGGUUAAGUCCCGCAACGAGCGCAACCCUCGUCCUAUGUUGCCAGCGGGUCAUGCCGGGGACUCAUGGGAGACUGCCGGGGUCAACUCGGAGGAAGGUGGGAUGACGUCAAAUCAUCCAUCGCCCCUUAUGUCUUGGGCUUCACGCAUGCUACAAUGGCCGGUACAAAGGGCUGCGAUACCGCGAGGUGGAGCGAAUCCCAGAAAGCCGGUCUCAGUUCGGAUUGGGGUCUGCAACUCGACCCCAUGAAGUCGGAGUCGCUAGUAAUCGCAGAUCAGCAACGCUGCGGUGAAUACGUUCCCGGGCCUU